GGCAGGUCCAAGGUCCUAUGGAAAGCCAGCCACGGUGGCAAAGUCCCCUGUAAGUAGUUCUGAUCCCACCUACGGGGACAUGCUCACCAUGGCCCAAAGAUGACCCCGCCAACUGGCCAGGUCACAUCUGAGUUGUGCAUCCACCUCAUCCACGGGGACUUGGGGCCGUGGUGUUCCUGAGAGCGAGGACGUGGAUUCUGGGCAGGCAAGACUGUGCCUGCUCCUGCCGUCGUUUCAAGAAGAUGGGACAGGCCUGCCUUUGUCAUCUCUCUCCCCUCCCAGAGGCAUUGUCCUGGGGUUUUCCUCCCUCUGCACUUAGCCACAGGUGAUGGGAACAGUAGACAGGGAGGUAUUGGGUCCUAGGUGCCCUGUCCCCUCUUCCUCCUCCUCACCCAUGGUGACAUUUUAUUAAACGGCUGUCACCCCACCCUCAGUCCUGCACAGGUUGGAGAGCCUGAGAUCCAGGCUUCACCGUAAGAUGUUCAGAGGACUCGCUACGCACGGCUGCCCUAAAUAUGCACGGACUCCCAGGGCCUUCCCAGAGGCCCCUGGGAUGGCACAUGGCAGAAGCCACUCGAUUUCACCUGCACCAAAAAGGGGGAUGUAUCAACUGACGGAACAACAGGCUCCGGGGGGUGGGGUGCAGCUAGGAGUGUGACCUUAGACACCUUCGCGACAGCUGCCUGAAUCCCGCUGACUCCGUGCCCUGCCCCAGCUCAGCUGGGCUUGCCUCCACUGACUUCAUUCCUCGGCCAACUCCCUAGAAGGUGGCAAAGUGGCUGGUGACCCCAGACACACCUUUACCAUUUCCACCCAGCCUGCAGACACUGCUCCUGUCCCCCAGAGUCUCACUGGUGAGAGUCGGUCGGCGUGUUGGAUCCUGCACCAGUCAUUGCCACGGCGUGGGACAGGAGGACAGGGUCUCUCAUCUCCACCAGACCAGCCUGGGGCCAGGAGCAGCC
rnacentral:lncRNA from 1 species